rnacentral:tRNA from 1 species
AUUUCAGUAGUUUAACUUAAAACACUGGUCUUGUAAACCAGAAAAGAGGAACACCACCCUCCUGAAAUA